rnacentral:rRNA from 1 species
UGCGUAGGGGGCAAGCGUUGUCCGGAUUUAUUGGGCGUAAAGAGCGUGUAGGCGGCUAGGUAGGUCCGUUGUGAAAACUCGAGGCUCAACCUCGAGACGCCGGUGGAAACCAUCUAGCUAGAGUCCGGAAGAGGAGAGUGGAAUUCCUGGUGUAGCGGUGAAAUGCGCAGAUAUCAGGAAGAACACCCGUGGCGAAGGCGGCUCUCUGGGACGUGACUGACGCUGAGACGCGAAAGCGUGGGGAGCGAACAGG